AACGAACGCUGGCGGCAUGCCUAACACAUGCAAGUCGAACGAGACCUUCGGGUCUAGUGGCGCACGGGUGCGUAACGCGUGGGAACCUGCCCUUAGGUUCGGAAUAACUCCCCGAAAGGGGUGCUAAUACCGGAUAAUGUCUUCGGACCAAAGAUUUAUCGCCUUUGGAUGGGCCCGCGUUGGCUUAGCUAGUUGGUAGGGUAAAAGCCUACCAAGGCGACGAUCCAUAGCUGGUCUGAGAGGAUGAGCAGCCACACUGGGACUGAGACACGGCCCAGACUCCUACGGGAGGCGGCAGUGGGGAAUAUUGGAAAAUGGGCGAAGGCCUGAUCCAGCAAUGCCGGGUGAGUGAUGAAGGCCUUAGGGUUGUAAAGCUCUUUUAUCCGGGAUGAUAAUGACAGUACCGGGAGAAUAAGCGCCGGCUAACUCCGUG
rnacentral:rRNA from 1 species